UGUUAAAUUUGGUGUUAUCACGCUCACACUCUCUCAUACUGGUCACUGGAAGUUCAACAUGGCACCUCAUGGCAAAGAGCUCUCUGAGGAUCUGAAAAAAAUAAUUGUUGCUCUACAUAAAGAUGGCCUAGGCUAUAAGAAGAUUGCCAAGACCCUGAAACUGAGCUGCAGCACACUGGGCAAGACCAUACAGCGGUUUCACAGG